GCUGGCAGCGUGGAUUAGGCAUGCAAGGUCGAACGGGAUCCGGAAGGUAGCAAUAUCGGCCGGUGAGAGUGGCGGAAGGGCGAGGAACACGUGGGCAACCUGUCUUGAGGUGGGGAAAACCGCUGGAAACGGCGGCUAAUACCGAAUGUAGCGCCCGCUCGCAUGAGCGGAGCGCCAAAGGGGGCGAAAGCUCCCCCUCUUCGAGGGGCCCGCGCACCAUCAGCUUGUUGGCGGGUAACGGCCCACCAAGGCUCACGGUUAGCUGGUCUGAGAGGAUGGCCAGCCGCACUGGGACUGAGAUACUGCCCAGACUCCUACGGGAGGCUGCAGUCGAGGAUCAUUUGCAAUGGGCGAAAGCCUGACAAUGCGACGCUGCGUGGAGGAAUGAAGGCCCUCGGGUUGUAAACUCCUGUCAUGGGGGAAAAGGAAACCCUGCCCAAUACGCAGGGAAUUUGAUGGUACCCCAAGAGGAAGCGACGGCUAACUCUGUGCCAGCAGCUGC
rnacentral:rRNA from 1 species